rfam:Microgenomates (Collierbacteria) bacterium GW2011_GWF1_44_12 TW26_C0001, whole genome shotgun sequence.
GGCAGGGUAGCUCAAAUGGUUAGAGCGGAGGAUUCAUAAACCUCAGGUAGUGGGUUCGAUACCCACCCCUGCUA